GCAUCCUUAGCUCAGCUGGCAGAGCAUCGGACUCUUAAUCCGCAGGUCGAGGGUUCGAAUCCCUCAGGAUGCACCA
rnacentral:tRNA from 1 species